rnacentral:sRNA from 1 species
GUAGAUGCUCAUCCCACUUAUUAUGAUAGCUUGGUCUUAUAGUCCAUUUAGCUUCAUAAACCCAGGGAUGACGCAGAGCCGAUUUUAGGGUGCCUAUUGUCCAUGUAAACGAUGUUGAACAUCUUCAUCACAUACCGGACAUAACGUUGAGUGAGGCACCGACAUUGUUGUCUGUAGACCUGAAAAUUUCAGACGCUUGCCUUUCUGGGCAAGCGUUUUUUU